GUACACUCCUGCGGGAGGCAGCAGUGGGGAAUAUUGGACAAUGGGCGCAAGCCUGAUCCAGCCAUGCCGCGUGAGUGAUGAAGGCCCUAGGGUUGUAAAGCUCUUUCACCGGUGAAGAUAAUGACGGUAACCGGAGAAGAAGCCCCGGCUAACUUCGUGCCAGCAGCCGCGGUAAUACGAAGGGGGCUAGCGUUGUUCGGAUUUACUGGGCGUAAAGCGCACGUAGGCGGACUAUUAAGUCAGGGGUGAAAUCCCGGGGCUCAACCCCGGAACUGCCUUUGAUACUGGUAGUCUUGAGUUCGAGAGAGGUGAGUGGAAUUCCGAGUGUAGAGGUGAAAUUCGUAGAUAUUCGGAGGAACACCAGUGGCGAAGGCGGCUCACUGGCUCGAUACUGACGCUGAGGUGCGAAAGCGUGGGGAGCAAACAGGAUUAGAAACCCAGUAGUCCCA
rnacentral:rRNA from 1 species